UGGGGAAUAUUGCACAAUGGACGAAAGUCUGAUGCAGCAAUGCCGCGUGUGUGAAGAAGGCCUUCGGGUUGUAAAGCACUUUCAAUAGUGAGGAAAAGUAAGUAGUUAAUAACUGCUUACCCUGACGUUAACUAUAGAAGAAGGACCGGCUAACUCCGUGCCAGCAGCCGCGGUAAUACGGAGGGUCCAAGCGUUAAUCGGAAUUACUGGGCGUAAAGCGCGCGUAGGCGGAUAUUUAAGUCAGAUGUGAAAGCCCUGGGCUCAACCUAGGAACUGCAUUUGAAACUGGGUAUCUAGAGUAUGGUAGAGGUGAGUGGAAUUUCAGGUGUAGCGGUGAAAUGCGUAGAGAUCUGAAGGAACAUCAGUGGCGAAGGCGACUCACUGGGCCAUUACUGACGCUGAGGUGCGAAAGCGUGGGUAGCAAACA
rnacentral:rRNA from 1 species